UACGUAGGGUCCAAGCGUUAUCCGGAUUUACUGGGUGUAAAGGGCGGGUAGACGGCAUGCCAAGUCAGCUGUGAAAACUUAGGGCUCAACCCUAAGACUGCAGUUGAAACUGGCGAGCUAGAGUGCAGAAGAGGUAAGUGGAAUUCCUAGUGUAGCGGUGAAAUGCGUAGAUAUUAGGAGGAACACCAGUGGCGAAGGCGACUUACUGGGCUGUAACUGACGUUGAGGCGCGAAAGUGUGGGGAGCAAAC
rnacentral:rRNA from 1 species